GGAAGUGACGUCAACAACGCAGCAAAUGCAGAUUGGAUGUUGACUGAUCUCUCAACAAUCAACAUCCAAUCUGCAUUUGCUGCGUUCUUGACGUGACUUCCU
rnacentral:pre_miRNA from 1 species